AACACAGAGAAAUAGAGAUUGGAGGAGGGAGACAGAAGGAGUGGACACAAAUGAAAGCAAUAAAAACUCUGAUCCUGCAAACAUGAAUCUGCAUGGCUACAAGGAGCUGCCUGUGCUGGUCUCUGUGUAGGGUCAGGAUCCCACUUCUGGUGAAUGGGAGGAAAGGGGAUCAUUUGCUGCAUGAAGCAGAAUAACUCUUCAAGAAAUUACUAGCACAUUGUAUGGUACUUCUGCAAUUGAUACUGAAUUUCACACUUGUGAUACCCAUUAUACAAUAACCAAAGACAAAAGCAAGGUGUUUAGGAUAGAUCUGUAGAGGCUGCAAUAUCUAAGCUUUACACAUUUUCUUAACAUUUUUCAUAGAAGAAACUUCUUUGUGAAGCACUGUGCAUCUUUAGGAGCCUAUAGAAAAACACAGAGUGAAUAAAAGGCACCCUUACACUUCCACAAAACAGUCUUUCAAGAACAGAGUUGGUUUCUCUAUCAAUGAAGCUUUUAAAAGAACUUAGGGUUUAUAAAGUGCCCUAAUGAAGAAAGCAGCACUGUCCACAGUACUCUGAUUUUCUGGCUCAGGGAACCAUGCCCUCUGGAAACCCUAAACACCUCCUGCCAAAAACCUAGAACAAAAAGAGAGGCUUCUGUGUGAAAUCAUUUUCUUCCCACACUCCAUACAUACCAAGAUACAGCCUUGCAACGAAGAAGUGAAAGCUUAAGUAUUUUGCUAAUUAGCAUAAACUACAUCAACCUGGCAGAAGACAGUAGAUGGACUUGAUGCCAGGAACUGGACUCAAUGAUCCUUAUGGGUCCCUUCCAACUUUGGAAUUCCAGUUGCUGUGGAAUUUCAGUCGUCAACGGUGUUCAAGGAAGGAUAGUCAGAUCUGAAGUCUGCUGAGCUUUGCUGGCUGUGAGCUACAUGCAAUGUAUGUGGCCCAUCAAACCAUAGGUGCCUGUGAUAGGAAAUGUACUCCUAGGUGAGUCUGCUUCUGAUCCUAGACUUAGCCCAGUUUUAUUAAUACCAGAUUUGGUGCAGAAUUCACUCACAGUCCUCAAUGUGAUGAGCUCUUCAAGAAAGCAGUGGAGAGGGA
rnacentral:lncRNA from 1 species